rnacentral:rRNA from 1 species
CCUACGGGAGGCAGCAGUGGGGGAUAUUGGACAAUGGGGGGAACCCUGAUCCAGCGACGCCGCGUGAGUGAAGAAGUAUUUCGGUAUGUAAAGCUCUAUCAGCAGGGAAGAAAAGAAUGACGGUCCCUGAAUCAGAAGCCCCGGCUAACUACGUGCCAGCAGCCGCGGUAAUACGUAGGGGGCAAGCGUUAUCAGGAUUUACUGGGUGUAAAGGGAGCGUAGAGGGUUGUGCAAGCCAGAUGUGAAAGCCCGGGGCUCAGCGCCGGGACUGCAUGUGGAACUGUGGGGCUGGAGUGUGGGAGAGGCAGGCGGAAGUUGUAGUGUAGCGGUGAAAUGCGUAGAUAUUAGGAGGAACACCAGUGGCGAAGGCGGCCUGCUGGACGAUGACUGACGUUGAGGCUCGAAAGCGUGGGGAGCAAACAGGAUUAGAUACCCGGGUAGUC